rnacentral:rRNA from 1 species
GACUAUGGCCACGCUGGACUGAAUGCACCCGAUCCUGUCUGAUCUCGGAAGUUAAGCAGACCCAGGGCCCAGGAUGGGAGACUGCCUGGGAAUCCCAGGUGCUAAAGGCA